rfam:Aedes albopictus isolate Foshan contig84813, whole genome shotgun sequence.
UGCCCAGCAACUCCUAUCCCUACCUCCACGCGGUACCGGCCGGAAAAUAUGAGCAACCUUAGGGAAGAUCGGGUAACCAACCCCGGUGGGAACUUUGGUCGUAGGCUGACAGGGGCGG